rnacentral:lncRNA from 1 species
GAACUUCUGAUCCAUACUUCUGUAAUCCUAGUCUUACUUGAGGACUUGUAGCCGGUACUCUCAUUACAUAGAUCCAUUUGACGUACUCAUUUAUCUAUUAUGCUGCAUGCUUGAGCUUCUUGUCACGGGUGAUUGAAAUGGCUGAUCAGUGCUCAUUUAUCUAUUGAAUCAUGUUGGACAUGCCUGCCUGCUUGAUGUAGUCUAAUUAGAUCCAUUUAUAAGCAAUACCUGCAUGCUAUCUGUGUUACAGCCUCAUUGGCAUGCUAGACUGCAUAGCCCAGCUAAUAGAUUACAUGAUUGUUGAUGGUAACUUUCCCCGUGGAAGGUUUGCGGAGGUUGCUGAACUGACCAGCGUAUGCUGGUUGGAGAUUCGUGGCAAGAUCGAAAGUAGAAUGCUUUCUCGGAAAACAGCCUACGCUGCCUAUCUCAUCUAUGAUACCGCCAAUUAUGCAUUUGGUCUCAACCAUCCGUCCCAAGAAGCAUCAGUGAAGGUUGGAGUGCAUUCGUCGACGAAACUGGUUUGUUUGCAGCCUACAGACAUGCUCAGCCGUAGGCAUGCCCAGAGGGCCAGUGCUUUGUGCUAUCGCAAGGAAGCCGAAGAAGUGGAUGGAGACUCAAAGGAAGCCGAAGAAGUGGAUGAAUCCGCAGAGGAAGUCGAAGAAGUGGAUGGAGCCCCCCAAGCAAGGAACGAUGACUGGAUGGAGCUGGAGCUGGGUGAAUUCUACAUCGACGAAGGAGAUGAUGGGGAGGUUAAGAUACGCUUGUUGGAGGUGAAGGGAGGCCACUGGAAGAGGGGUCUGAUCAUAGAGGGAAUUGAAAUACGGCCUAAACAGUAGGUGAAAUCUUCGAGUGAUCAUAAAAAAUUUGUCUAUUUGCUUUCACUUUUGAUGAUCAAGAAGAUAUGUUGGAGGUUAAGUUUGCAACUGUAAGCAUGCUGAUGUAACUGCGUUUCUUGUAUAGGAUUUGUUGCUUCGACAAACAGAGAUUGAGAUGGAACGCUUCAAUUUGUGUUGUUUUGAGUUGCGUAUGAAAGACAGACGUUAUCCUUUUCACUCUACCAAGAUUACAGUUUUUCUGGCUUUAGUCUAAUUACCCAAAAAGAAAAAAAAAAUUGUAGCAAUACUAGUUAAGCUUUUAAUUGUUGGAAAGAAUAUAAGACAAGAAGAAUUAGUGAAAAAGUUAUUUUAAGUUAUUCUCCUCCUAUUUAUAUAGAUUAAGAUGAAGGAUUUCCCUCAACAAAAUAGAAAGAUUUCCUCAUACAGUUAGGGAAAUCUUAUAUGCUAUGGUUUAUUAGAAUUCAUCACUAUAGGUCAAAGGAUGUACUCGGAAUUUUAUAAGUCACAUCAUCAUAGACGGUCUAAAUGUUCGAAAUUUUCUUCUUUUAAAACUGUCUCAAGAUAUGUGUACAAUCGAUACCAUUUUUCAACGUAUUUUGAAUUACAUUAUUUUCUUUUAAGAUUGAUCCCCCAAUUAUGAUAUCAACUUAUCAUUCAAUUAGAUCCUAUAUAUAUGGAGACUAUUCUUAGACUCAACAGAGGUCACUAUUUAUUGAGGUGUUUUCGUUCAAUCAAUUCUUUGAUCUAUUAUUUAAAAUUAAAAUAAACUUCAUGAUUAGGAUCUUUGUGGAAUCGAUAAUACUUUAUAUUAGCUCUUCUUAUAGAUGAGUACCCAGAUUGAGGGGUAAGGAGAAGAUCAUUUUCCUCACUUAGGUACAUCAAGUGUGAAGGGUAUAAAAUCUCUUCAAGGUCACAUUCUUUUUUCAAAUUAAAUCAAUAUAUAGUACUAUGUUCAUGAUGAACUAGCAAUACUUUGGUCAAGAAAUUUUUUUUUUCCUUAUUUAGAGAAAUACUUUGGCAUAUGAAAUGUUAAAUGAGGUAAAAUCUCUUCUGGAUGGUGCUCGAUCCCCUUGAGGAGGUCUUUAUUAUGACACAAAUUAUUUUGAGUUGACCUAGAGAGGAAUGAACCUUAGUAACCAUUUACUUUCCAUCCAUCCUUUUUUUCUUUAUGAUUAGGGAUUUGACCUAUGGUUAAUAAUUUUUUGGUAAUUGACCAAAAAAAAAAAGUGAGAAGGAUGAAUGUCAACCAUGAAAGCAUUAAUGGGACAUAUUGGUGUGGGUCUGACACCGUCCUCACUUUCUUGAUAAAGCUAUUAGUAUAAUUCAACAUUGAUUUAUUUUUUAUUGAAUUGCUAGGAUAAAGGUUGUAGACUUCCUCGACAAUUUGUAAUUAAUGGGGUUGAACUCAAACUCCUUAGCUAGCUAAUCGAAUGAACUGAAUAAUUGAGUUUGGGGGGAUGUAUACUAUUCUUAGGUCACAUAGAUGGGAAGAAUUGAUAUGUGAGUGUUUUUGUUGUUGCACACAACGUUAUAUAAGACACGAAACAAGCAAUGCAUUUAGACAUAUCAAAUCUUCCAUAAGGAGACUCCAACAUCGAAAGAUGAAAUCAUUGAGAAUUAGAUUCAUCCAUAAUGCCUUGGAUAAAUAGGGAUUGCAUGUAAGUUCGGUAGAGACAAGUUCUUUUCCUUGUUUAAAUUAUUGUCUCAUAUCUUUAAGGCACUACUAGAUUAGAUUGUGAUUGAUAAGAAAAUUAUACUUUUCAAUGAGAAUUUAAUAAAAUAAAUCUAGAUUUUAUUUAUGACACUAAGGACAAUAUCCAUAGAGUUUAUUUUGUCAUGCAAAAUAUUCUCUUUGGCCGCCAGCGACCAAAUAUAAAUUGAUUAUAAAAGAUAACUUGAGCAUAACUAUCGAGGUAUGACAGUUUUCAUCCAAAGCUUCACCUAAUCUAUUUUGGAUCUGACUUAGGUAUCAAAAGGAUCAUGUUGGGAUCCCAUUUGAUAUUGGUAUUGAGUACAUCUCAACCCUCAUGGGAGCUCGUUAAAUGGAUUAAGGGACUCCUAUCGUAAGUUGAGCCAAGACCGAGUAGGGCAUGUCCAUCGUUUCAUGUCAACCACAUCUAUUUUCUCCCGUCAUAUGCCAAAAUGAUUCCAACAAAAGGAUGGGUAACAAAUCCUACAAUAAACUUCAUAAAUAUGAAAGAAAAACUUAAAAAGGAUCCCUACCUCUUUUGCCCUCCUCCUCAUCAUUCAUCUUCCAAUCAAGGCAUGUUGCCCUUUUUCAAUAAGAGGAUAGAGAGGCUCUCUCAAAGGAAAAAAAUUAAUUAUAAAAUAUCAAAUUAAUUAAGAAGUUUGCUAUUGACAAUCCCUUUUUGCUAUUGGCAAACCCCUAUAAAAAUGAUAAAAUAUAAUUUUACUCUUUACCGUUCCUCAAUUAUCAAUCAUAUAUUUAUUCUCACAACCUCUUAUUUCUUCCACUAAAAUUUCUAAAAAGGAUGGGUAAUAAAUCCUAUAAUAAACUUCAUAAAUAUGAAAGAAAAACCUAAAAACGAUCCCUAUCUCUUUUGCCCUUCUCCUCAUCAUUCACCUUCCAACUAAGGCAUGCUGCCCUCUUUCAAUAAGAGGAAAGAGAGGCUUUCUCAAAGAAAAAAAUUAAUUAUAAAAUAUCAAAUUAAUUAAGAAGUUUGCUAUUGGCAACCCCUUUUUUGCCAUUGGCAAGCCCCUAUAAAAAUGAUAAAAUAUAAUUUUACUUUUGCAGUUUCUCAAUUAUUAAUCAUAUAUUUAUUCUCAUAAUCCCUUAUUUCUUCCACUAAAAUUCCAACAAAAUGAUGGGUAACAAAUCCUACAAUAAACUUCCAAAAUAUAAAAAGAAAACCUAAGAAGGAUCCCUACCACUUUCACCCUCCUCCUCAUCCAUCACCUUCCUAACAAGACAAGUUGCCCUCUUUAAAUAAGAGGAAAGAGAGGCUCUCCCAAAGAAAAUAAUUAAUUAUAAAAUAUUAAAUUAAUUAAGAAGUUUGCUAUUGACAAACCCUUAAAAAAUAAUAAAAAUAUAAUUUUACUAUUUAUAGUCUCCCAAUUACCAAUUAUAUAUUUAUUAUUACAACCCCUUAUUUCAUCCACCGGAAAACUAUGUGCGUCAACAUCGCUCAAUGCCAUUCUGCCAUCCGAUGUUGCUUGACACCAUCAUCCCCACUCGUUCUUAAGUAUAAGUUAACUUAGCCUUAACAAAAACCAUUAUCGUCCCUUUGCUCAUAUGUCUCCUCUCUCUCCCAUGGCAAGAAUAGGCAAAAAAAAAAAAAAACUCUCAAGAAAGUUGAUCAAGACUCAAGAAGAAAUCACCAUGGUAGAGAUAUAAGAGGUGAUGGAGAUGAUGGUGGGGGUAAGCUCCAGAAAGGAGCUGAAGUGGUGGAUGAAAUAGAUGAAGAAGACUAAGUCCAACGGCUUCAAGCCACUUGACCUCUACUUUAAGGUUUAUUAUUAAAUCAAGUAGAAGGGAUAUCGGAUGUCUACACUAAUCCAGUGCAAGACCAUGCCUCUUAUCCUCUCCGACAUUAACAUUGUCAUCAUGGCUUGCAUCGAGUCUAGGAAAAUUGUUAUCGUUCGAUGUCAUCCCUACUCAUUGAGCAUCAUUCAUUGCUUUACAUCGCUCAAUGCAGAGGAAGACAUCGCUCACCAUCACUUUAUCAUGGACUUAACUGAUUUUGCCUAAGUUAUGCAACUCCCUUAUGUGUUCAUUCAUAAAGGAUCAACCUCUCUAUAACUUUUUAGGGUCCCUUAAGGACCUAUAAAAGAUAAGACGAGCUAGAAAAAGUUUUAUAUGCAAGGUUUCAUAAGUAGACAUUUUAGUAAACACUUAAUAAAUAAUGUAGAAUAUAAAGAUAGACUUUGCAAGCUCUAAACGGUAAUAAAACAUAAGAUCUAAAGCAGUCAACGACGAUUAAAAAUCUCCAUAAGUGGUUACAUGACAUCCUUAAGGACCUAGGUAGCAAUAUAGCCCUAGACACUAUCCUAAAUGCCCAUCAAGUCUUAUGUCACCUAGGUAAUCUAAUAUGCUAAAAUGAUUGACAUUUUGUGCUAUUCAACACACCUAUAAAACAUCCAAAAUCGCCACUUGGAUGGUUUAUUUUUUAAUAGUUUUACUUUUGAGCAAUCAUUUUUUCACACAUAACUUGUGUGUAUAAGCUUGAAACAUUCACAAAAGCCAAUUAAAAUUGUCAAGUCUACUAUAAACCCCCUAUUUGAUGCCUAAAUUAUAAAUAAAAUCCAAAGACACUUUGCUUACAUGAUUGUUUAUGACAUUCUUAGUCACUUAUUCCUUUAACAUUCUCGUUGAAGCCUUUGUAGAUGUUGUAUCUCUUUGUUUUUGUUGAAUCUUUAAUCCUUUGUUUUAGUUACAAUAUACAUGCUAGCUUCUAGUUGCUCUUUGUCGUUAUUGUUGAGCAGCUGAACUCUGAGUUGCCAAUAUUACUUCAACUCACUAAUGAUUCUGACUCUAGUUUGGGCUCAAUCAAGUUGUACUAAUCUUCGUUGGUCCAUGCAAAUCCUUUGUAUAAAAGAAAAGGCCUUCCGUAUUGUGCAUAAAUCCCUCAAAUGUCUCACAUCAGUUGAACCAGAUGAAUGCCUGUUUGAGCUUUAAUGAGUAUAACCUUAUAGACUUUAAAAUUUUAAGGUAUUUUCUUUGUAAAAUUUGUCUAUUGAUUCUUUUUUUUCUUUGUCAUCACCUUCAAGUAGGUUCACAUCAUCUUCAUUUUCUAUUAUCAUUUUGUUAGGAAAUAAAAUAGAUAAACUACCUUUGGUAGAACGAUCAUCAUUGGCGAGAAUUUGACAACUAAUCUGUCACAACAUCUCUUCAAAGAGUCUUUAAAUAUGUGCAUAACUCCUUUGCUAGAUAACUAAGAUUGUUGGGUAGUUAGUUUCGCUUAUUCUCUCAAGAGCUAAGAAUGCUAAGGAUACUUGAUUUCGCUCACCUCAUCGAGGGUUAUACUUCAUACAUCAAGGUAGUUAAUAUCUUUUGCUAGUCAUAAGUGUCCUACAAGCCAAUCACAUGAGUGAUGGCACGUGUGAUUUGACACGCAGUCUUUUUGCUUAUUAUUAUCAUUUGAUAUUUUAUCACUUUAUAUUGUCUGUUGCUUGAAUAUAUUGUGAUGUCCAUGGAUCUAUGCAAUGGGAAUUAGAUCAUGAUGAGAUCACGAUAAUGAGAUCGAUUUGCCUUUAAAUAUAUAUCCUAAAUAAUCCUGGUCAUAAGUUGCUCAAGAGGGACAUCAAGAUAAUCAGACAGACUAGUGUGUUGUAUACUCAUCCAUAUAAUCGAUACAGCUGGUCUCAUAGUUGCUCGUGUGGGGACACUAGGGAUACAGUACAAAUGCUUAUAAGGGAAUGAGUUAAUUGAUUGAUCCGUUUACGGUAUGCUGGAUGGUUGAUGAUACCUUAUUGUCAAAUAGCGAUUCUAUAAUCACAGUAGUUGUUGGGAAAUCAUGGGGGCGACAUCACAUGCGCAGCGGAAGAACAAGAAAAUAAAAUCCCCGAUUCCCAAAAAGAUGUUCGUCGUCGUGCGAAGAUUGGUGCGCAAAAAUCCGCGAAACAUGAAACUGCGUAUAGAGUAGAUUGUGUUACCUAGGGAGAUCGUAUAUCCCUGUUUCCUUGCAGAUCCUUAGGAGAGGGUAAAGGAGGUCAAGCGUCCUCCUCUCUAGCGGUGAUCCACACAGUAGGGUUGCGACGAUGCUCCUCAAAAACUCCAGGCCUGAUUUGAGGUGGAGAGGAAGAGGAGAAUAGGAAAGGCAAGCAAAGGCUCUAGCCUAUGAGGCUCUGAAUCCCUCCUAUUUAUAGAGGUCCCCUGUCAAACCCUAAUGGGUCCUCCCCUAGUGGGUAUUGGAUCUGCAUCCAAUAAGACAAGGGCUCCGUCGGAUAUCUCAUAUCCGAACCUCUACUCAUCGCAAUGCCUACCAUAUGUGUGUGACCCUCUAGGCCCAAUAUCGAGCUGGCCGUGAGUCAUACCUGUCAGAACUCCUUCUAACUCAGUGAAUUAUUAUCUCUGUAAUAAUUCACUUGACUCAUCGACUACGGAAGUACUAGGCCACUACGCCGUAGUCCCUAGACGAUACAGGGGAAUCCAAUCCAUUGGACAUGUCUNNNNNNNNNNNNNNNNNNNNNNNNNNNNNNNNNNNNNNNNNNNNNNNNNNNNNNNNNNNNNNNNNNNNNNNNNNNNNNNNNNNNNNNNNNNNNNNNNNNNNNNNNNNNNNNNNNNNNNNNNNNNNNNNNNNNNNNNNNNNNNNNNNNNNNNNNNNNNNNNNNNNNNNNNNNNNNNNNNNNNNNNNNNNNNNNNNNNNNNNNNNNNNNNNNNNNNNNNNNNNNNNNNNNNNNNNNNNNNNNNNNNNNNNNNNNNNNNNNNNNNNNNNNNNNNNNNNNNNNNNNNNNNNNNNNNNNNNNNNNNNNNNNNNNNNNNNNNNNNNNNNNNNNNNNNNNNNNNNNNNNNNNNNNNNNNNNNNNNNNNNNNNNNNNNNNNNNNNNNNNNNNNNNNNNNNNNNNNNNNNNNNNNNNNNNNNNNNNNNNNNNNNNNNNNNNNNNNNNNNNNNNNNNNNNNNNNNNNNNNNNNNNNNNNNNNNNNNNNNNNNNNNNNNNNNNNNNNNNNNNNNNNNNNNNNNNNNNNNNNNNNNNNNNNNNNNNNNNNNNNNNNNNNNNNNNNNNNNNNNNNNNNNNNNNNNNNNNNNNNNNNNNNNNNNNNNNNNNNNNNNNNNNNNNNNNNNNNNNNNNNNNNNNNNNNNNNNNNNNNNNNNNNNNNNNNNNUCUGUAUCAAGUCACAUGUGCCAUCACUCACGUGAUUGGCUUGCUGGGCACCUAUGACUAGCAAUCUCCCACUUGACCUAAAGCCAAUCACCUAUGUGUCUGAUCCCCAUCAAACCCCUGUGACGCUCAAAGACAAUCUGAGACAAUGACUUUGUCAGUGGAUCUGCAAUGUUAUCUUCGGAUGGAACUCUUUCCACUACUACAUCUCCUCGGGCUACGAUCUCUCUGAUAAGCUGGAACCUCCUCAGAACACUUCUGAUGAGACCCGAAUUCCCUUAUUUGAGUAAUCGCUCCAUAGUUGUCGCACCAAUGUACUCCGCCUCCUUUGCUACAUCUAAUCAUGAGGUCGACGGUUUAGAUCAGCUGCGUUUCUUUUCUUUGAGUCGUAUUUGUUUCUUGGCCACGUGGAAUUUUCUCUUGCCUUGGAUUACGAGGCUAAGCUCGCUUUCUCCGAACCACAGGAUGGGGCCCGUACGAUAUGCCUCCCCUCGUGUGGCGUGUAUAUAUAUCAAAGCCGCCGCGGAGGGGCUGACUCCAUUCAUCCAACGUGAAAACUUGCAUUCUUUUUUUGCCCUUUUCACAGAAAGAGAGAGGGAGAGAAAGGAACGGGCGAUAGAUCGAGCGCGAUAUGGAGAAGGGAGAGUCGAGAACGGAGAAGCUUCCGGAGCUCUGCAUCGUACACGCCAUUUCCCUUACCUCGCCCCGGGUGGCGUCCCGCUUAUCCGCCGUCUCGACCACCUUCCGCGCCGCCGCCACCUCUGACACCGUCUGGGACCGCUUCCUGCCCUCCGAUUGGCAGUCGCUUGUCUCCCGCGCUGUCCAUCCCGUCGACUUCUCCUCCUUUUCCUCCAAGCGGGAUAUCUUCUUCCGCCUCUGCGAUCCCAUCCUCAUCGACGACGGCAAGAUGGUUAGUCCAAAACCCCUCCUCUCGUUUUCUGGUGUGAUUUCUUUUUAUAAGCUUAUGUUGUUGCAAAACUUUAAGUUGUUGUUCCGUUAGAUAUCUAAUCAAAUUCAACCCCCCGCCCCAAAAAAGUUUUUUGUUUGGAGGAAGAAGGGUAUACUUUGAUCUUUCCGAUUGUACAAUGGUGUUUGAUAUAAUGUCUUCGCCUUUGGUCCAUCGCAUCCAGCGUCUUUCAUUCAAAUUAUUGAUGUCUCUUGAACUUGAUUUAUGUUUGUCUUUGCAGAGUUUCUCACUGGACAGAUCGAGCGGGGCCAAGUGCUACGUACUCUCCGCUAGGAAGCUGUCCAUUACGUGGGCAGAUGCUCCCUGGUAUUGGAAGUGGCGUUGUCUACCUGAAUCCAGGUGUGUAGUAAUCUCCUGUUCCCUCUUCAUAACAUAACUCUGAAAACCAAGCCUUUUGUUAAGAAAAUUAGUACCUUUUAUUAGCACAUACACGAACUUCUGAUCCAUACUUCUGUAAUCCUAGUAUUACUUGAGGACUUGUAGCCGGUACUCUCAUUACAUAGAUCCAUUUGACGUACUCAUUUAUCUAUUAUGCUGCAUGCUUGAGCUUCUUGUCACGGGUGAUUGAAAUGGCUGAUCAGUGGACAAGUCUCCUGAUACCUAGGUUGUGCUCCUUUAUUGAAUCAUGUUGGAUAUGCCUGCCUGCUUGAUGUAGUCUAAUUAGAUCCAUUCAUAAGCAAUACCUGCAUGCUAUCUGUGUCACAGCCUCAUUGGCAUGCUAGAAUGCAUAGCCCAGCUAAUAUAUUACAUGAUUGUUGAUGGUAACUUUCCCCGUGGAAGGUUUGCGGACGUUGCUGAACUGCUCGACGUAUACUGGUUGGAGAUUCGUGGCAAGAUCGAAAGUAGAAUGCUUUCUCAGAAAACAGCCUAUGCUGCCUAUCUCAUCUACCGUACCUCUGAUGAGGCAUAUGGUCUCACCAAUCCAUCCCAAGAAGCAUCAGUGAAGGUUGGAGUGUAUACGUCGACGAAACUGGUGUGUUUGCUGCCUAUAGACAUACUCAGCGAAAGUGAUGCCCAGAGGGCCAGUCCUUCGUAUAAGUAUCAAAUAUGCUGCUGCUGCGAAGACUCAGAGGAAGCCGAAGAAGAGGAUGGAGACUCAGAGGAAGCCGAAGAAGUAGAUGGAGACUCAGAGGAAGCCGAAGAAGAGGAUGGAGACUCAGAGGAAGCCGAAGAAGUAGAUGGAGACUCAGAGGAAGCCGAAGAAGUAGAUGGAGACUCAGAGGAAGCCGAAGAAGUGGAUGGAGCCCCCAAGGCAAGGAACGAUGACUGGAUGGAACUGGAGCUGGGUGAAUUCUACACCGACGAAGGAGAUGAUGGGGAGGUUAACAUAAGCUUGUUGGAGGUGAAGGGAAACUACUUGAAGAGUGGUCUGAUCAUAGAGGGAAUCGAAAUAAGGCCUAAACAGUAGGUGAAAUCUUCGAGUGAUCAUAAAAAAUUUGUCUAUUUGUUUUCACUUUUGAUGAUCAAGAAGAUAUGUUGGAGGUUAAGUUUGCAACUGUAAGCAUGCUGAUGUAACUGCGUUUCUCGUAUAGGAUUUGUUGCUUGGACAGUCGGAGAUUGAGAUGGAACGCUUCAAUUUGUGUUGUUUUGAGUUGCGUAUGAAAGACAGGCGUUAUCCUUUUCACGCUAACGAGAUUUACAGUUUUUCCUGGCUUUAGUCUAAUUACCCAAAAAGAAAAAGAAAAAAAAAUCUAGCAACACUAGUUAAGCUUUUAAUCACCUUGUUGGCAACUCAGCCAUUGCCAAGGGUAUGGUUUAUUAGAAUUCAUCACAAAAUUAAUUCAGAGACAAUUUGGGAUCAACAUUAGAACUAGUUUGGUGUCAGAAAAGUAGGAGAAUUAAUAGAUAUUUAUGUAAAGAUCACAUUGUGGAGGUACCAAACAAGCAAUGGGGACACGAAACAAGCAAUGUAUUUAGACAUAUCCAAGCUUCCAUAAGAAGACUCUAAGGUCGAGAGAUGAAAUUAUUGAGAAUUAGAUUCAUCCAUAAUGCCUUGGAUAAAUGGGGAUUGCAUGUAAGUUCGGUUGAGACAAGUUCUUUUUCUUGUUUAAAUUAUUGUCUCAUAUCUUUAAGGCACUACUAGAUUCGAUUGUGAUUGAUAAGAAGAUUGUACUUUCCAAUGAAAAUUUAAUAAAACAAAUCUAGAUUUGAUUAUGACACCAAGGACAAUAUCCGGAGAGUUUAUUUUGUCAUGCAAAAUAUUCUCUUUGACCGCCAGCGACCAACUAUAAAUUGAUUAGAAAAGAUAACUUGAGCAUAACUAUCGAGGUAUGACACUUUUCAUCUAAAGCUUCACCUAAUCUAUUUUGGAUCUGACUUAGGUAUCAAAAGGAUCAUGUCGGGGAUCCCAUUUGAUAUUGGUAUUGAGUACAUCUCAACCCUUAUGGGAGCUCGUUAAAUGGAUUGAGGGACUCCUAUCGCAAGUUGAGCCAAGACCGAGUAGAGCAUAUCCAUCGUUCCAUGUCAACUAUAUCUAUUUUCUCCUAUCAUAUGCCAAAAUAAUUCCAACAAAAGGAUGGGUAAUAAAUCCUACAAUAAACUUCAUAAAUAUGAAAGAAAAACCUAAAAAGGAUUCCUACCUCUUUUGCCCUCCUCCUCAUCAUUCAUCUUCCAAUCAAGGCAUGUUGCCCUUUUUCAAUAAGAGGAAAGAGAGGCUCUCUCAAAGAAAAAAAAUUAAUUAUAAAAUAUCAAAUUAAUUAAGAAGUUUACCGUUGACAAUCCCUUUUUGCUAUUGGCAAACCCCUAUAAAAAUGAUAAAAUAUAAUUUUACUCUUUACCGUUCCUCAAUUAUCAAUCAUAUAUUUAUUCUCACAACCUCUUAUUUCUUCCACUAAAAUUUCAAAAAAGGAUGGGUAAUAAAUCCUAUAAUAAACUUCAUAAAUAUGAAAGAAAAACCUAAAAAUGAUCCCUAUCUCUUUUGCCUUCUCCUCAUCAUUCACCUUCCAACUAAGGCAUGUUGCCCUCUUUCAAUAAGAGGAAAGAGAGGCUCUCUCAAAGAAAAAAAUUAAUUAUAAAAUAUCAAAUUAAUUAAGAAGUUUGCUAUUGGCAAGCCCCUAUAAAAAUGAUAAAAUAUAAUUUUACUUUUGCAGUUCCUCAAUUAUUAAUCAUAUAUUUAUUCUCAUAAUCCCUUAUUUCUUCCACUAAAAUUCCAACAAAAUGAUGGGUAACAAAUCCUACAAUAAACUUUCAAAAUAUAAAAAGAAAACCUAAGAAGGAUCCCUACCUCUUUCACCCUCCUCCUCAUCCUUCACCUUCCUAACAAGACAAGUUGCCCUCUUUAAAUAAGAGAAAAGAGAGACUCUCCCAAAGAAAAUAAUUAAUUAUAAAAUAUUAAAUUAAUUAAGAAGUUUGCUAUUUGCAAACCCUUAAAAAAUAAUAAAAAUAUAAUUUUACUAUUUAUAGUCUCCCAAUUACCAAUUAUAUAUUUAUUAUUACAACUCCUUAUUUCAUCCACUGGAAAACUAUGUGCGUCAACAUCGCUCAAUGCCAUUCUGCCAUCCGAUGUUGCUUGACACCAUCAUCCCCACUCGUUCUUAAGUAUAAGUUAACUUAGCCUUAACAAAAACCCGUCUCGUCCCUUUGCUCAUCUAUCUCUUCUCUCUCCCAUGGCGAGAAUAGACAAAACAAAAAAAAAAAACUCUCAAGAAAGUCGAUCAAGACUCAAGAAGGAAUCACCAUGGUAGAGAUAUAAGAGGUGAUGGAGAUGAUGGUGGGGGUAAGCUCCAGAAAGGAGCUGAAGUGGUGGAUGAAAGAGAUGAAGAAGACUAAGUCCAACGGCUUCAAGCCACUUGACCUCUACUUUAAGGUCUAUUAUUAAAUCAAGUAGAAGGGAUAUCGCAUGCCUACACCAAUCCAGUGCAAGACCAUGCCUCUUAUCCUCUCCGACACUAACAUUUUCCCAUGGCUUGCAUCGAGUCUAGGAAAAUUGUUAUCGUUCGAUGUAAUCCCUACUCAUUGAGCAUCAUUCAUUGCUCUACAUCGCUCAAUGCAGAGGAAGACAUCGCUCACCAUCACUUUAUCAUGGACUUAACUGAUUUUACCUAAGUUAUGCAACUCCCUUAUGUGUUCAUUCAUAAAGGAUCAGCCUCUCUAUAACCUUUUAGGAUCCCUUAAGGACCUAUAAAAGAUAAGACGGGCUAGAAAAAGUUUUAUAUGCAAGGUUUCAUAAGUAGACAUUUUAGUAAACAUUUAAUAAAUAAUGUAGAAUAUAAAGAUAGACUUUGCACGCUCUAAACGGUAAUGAAACAUAAGAUCUAAAGCAGUCAACGACGAUUAAAAAUCUCCACAAGUGCUCACAUGACACCCUUAAGGACCUAGGUAGUAAUAUAGCCCUAGACACUAUCCUAAAUGCCCAUCAAGUCUUAUGUCACCUAGGUAAUCUAAUGUGCUAAAAUGAUUGACAUUUUGCGUUAUUCAACACACCUAUAAAACAUCCAAAAUCGCCACUUGGAUGGUUUAUUUUUUAAUAGUUUUACCUUUGAGCAAUGAUUUUUUCACACAUAACAUAUGUGUAUAAGCUUGAAACAUUCACAAAAGCCAACCAAAAUUGUCAAGUCUACUAUAAACCCCCUAUUUGAUGCCUAAAUUAUAAAUAAAAUCCAAAGACACUUUGCUUACAUGAUUGUUUAUGACAUUCUUAGUCACUUAUUCCUUUAACAUUCUCGUUGAACCUUUGAAGAUGUUGUAUCUCUUUGUUUUUGUUGAAUCUUUAAUCCUUUGUUUUAGUUACAAUAUACAUGCUAGCUUCUAGUUGCUCUUUGUCGUUAUUGUUGAGGAGCUGAACUCUGAUUUGCCAAUAUUACUUCAACUCACUAAUGAUUCUGACUCUAGUUUGGGCUCAAUCAAGUUGUACUAAUCUUCGUUGGUCCAUACAAAUCCUUUGUAUGAAAGAAAAGGCCUUCCAUAUUGUGCAUAAAUCUCUCAAAUGUCUCACAUCAGUUGAACCAGAUGAAUGCCUGUUUGAGCUUUGUUUGAGCUUUAACGAGUAUAAUCUUACAGACUUUAAAAUUUUAAGGUAUUUUCUUUGUAAAAUUUGUCUAUUAAUUCUUUUUUUUCUUUGUCAUCACCUUCGUUCACAUCAUCUUCAUUUUCUAUUAUCAUUUUGUUAGAAAAUAAAAUAGAUAAACUACCUUUGGUAGAACGAUCAUCAUUGGCGAGAAUUUGACAACUAAUCUGUCACAACCUCUCUUCGAAGGGUCUUUAAACAUAUGCGUAACUCCUCUGCUAGAUAACUAAGAUUGUUGGGUAGUUAGUUUCGCUCAUUCUCUCAAGAGCUAAGAAUGCUAAGGAUACUUGAUUUCGCUCACCUCAUUGAGGGUUGUACUUCAUACAUCAAGGUAGUUACUAGCUUUGCUAGAAGUGUCCUACAAGCCAAUCACGUGAGUGAUGGCACGUGUGAUUUGAUACGCAGUCUUUUUGCUUAUUAUUAUCAUUUAAUAUUUUAUCACUUUAUAUUGUCUAUUGCUUGAAUAUAUUGUGAUGUCCAUAGAUCUAUGCAAUGGGAAUUGGAUCAUGAUGAAAUCACGAUAAUGAGACCGAUUUGCCUUUAAAUAUAUAUCCUAAAUAAUCCUGGUCAUAAGUUGCUCAAGAGAGACAUCAAGAUAACCAGACAGACUAGUGUGUUGUAUACUCAUCCAUAUAAUCGAUACAGCUGGUCUCAUAGUUGCUCGUGUGGGGACACUAGGGAUACAAUACAAGUGCUCAUUGGGGAAUGAGUUAAUUGAUUGCUCCGCUUACGGCAUGCUGGAUGGGUGAUGAUACCUUAUUGUCAGAUAGCAAUUCUAUAGUCCUAGUAGUGUAUUUAGUCCUUAGACUUGAGACACCAAGGAAAUCAUGUAUAAGUACUUCAUUCUUUGCUACUGGACUUAUAUGUCUGGAGGUUCUAGAUCUAGCAUAACUGGUAAUCGAGAGUGAUAGUCAACCUUACAAGAACUAUUAAGUGUCGAUAGAGGAUCAUCCACUCUCGGUGUUAUGAGAGGAAUGUCCCAUAUGUUUUACUCAGACAAAUCUCUGGCCAAGGUCAUUCGGAUUGAGAGAGAGAGAGUUCUUCAUGAGAAUCUGAUUAGAGCGAGACUCAAAUAGAAACUGUAUGGGUCUAACAGCACCAUGUCCGGUAUACAAUCUCUGAGAUAUUAGAUAGAUGAUGGACUAUAGGUAUACAGUAAUUGAGGACAGAUAGGUCCAAUGGAGUUCUCCCGGUUCAAUAGCUCCCCACUCCCUCCAUUCCUUCUCCUCUUCCUUCUUCACAAGCUUCCCUUAUUACUGAAGUAAUAUCCUCAGAAAUACAACAAUCUUCUUUAUCUAGUGCCACUAAUAUAUCUCAGCUUAUCCCGACCCUAGUUGAUGCCUCUCCACCACCCAUACCAAUAACACAACUUAUAGUUCCUAUACAUCCAAUGACAACUUGCUCAAAAAGUGAUAUCUUUAAACCACGUUAGGUUCUCGGCCUACAUGCUAUCACCGAAUCCUCUCCCGAGACCAAUGAACCCAUCAUAAUUACUCAAGCCCAAAAUUCUCUUCACUAGCGUAAAGCCAUGUGUGAAUAAUAUGAUGCUCUACUCUAUAACUUCACAUGGACUCUUGUACCUUUUCAUCCUACACAAAAUAUCAUCGAGUGUAAAUGGGUCUUCCGAAUUAAGCGAAAUCCCGAUGGGUCCGUUGAUCGAUAUAAAGCACGAUUAGUAGCCAAAGGAUUUCAUCAACGACCUAGAGUUGACUUCACAAAGACUUUUAGUCAUGUAAUUAAACCCACAACAAUUCGACUUAUUCUAAGUUUGGCCAUCUCCAGAGGCUGGCACUUAGGACAACUGGAUGUUAACAAUGCCUUUUUACAGUGGACUCUAACUGAAGAUGUCUUUAUAUAGUAAUCCCUUAGCUUUGUUCAUUACCAAUAUCCGAGAUAUGUCUGCAAAUUAUAAAAAGCUAUUUAUGGAUUUUGUCAAGCUCUAAGAGCUUGGUAUACUGAACUUGGAUCAUUUCUAAUAUCAAUUGGCUUCAUCAACUCCAAGUCUAAUAUCUCAUUAUUCCUACGAUGACAACAUGAAAAUACAAUAUAUCUUCUAGUAUAUAUAGAUGUUAUUAUUAUUACAGACAAUAAUCCCUUGGAGAUUCAGACAUUUUAAAAAAAAUUGAUUGAUCGAUUCUCCCUCAAAGAUUUAGGACCCUUGAGCUAUUUUCUGAGAAUGAAAGCAACAUUUAUAUCCUUAGGUCUCCUCCUCUCACAGAGAAAAUAUAUUCAAGACUUAUUAUCAAAGACAAAUAUGUAGGAUGCAAAAGAAGUUGCUACUCCUCUCUCUACUAGUGAAUUACUCAAAUUAUGUGAUGACAACCCUACCACGGACUCAACUCAAUAUCGACAAGUACUUGGCUCUUUACAGUAUUUGGCUCUCACCCGUUCAUAUAUCUCAUUUGCAGUUAAUAAAUUAUUUCAAUACAUGCACCAGCCUUCUGCUAUGCAUUGGUCUGCGGUUCGGUAUCUUAAAGGGACCCUUAAUCAUGGUCUCUUUCUCCGCAAAACCACUCCACUUCAUCUUCAUGCCUUUGCUGAUGCUGAUUGGGCAGGAAACUUUGAUGAUAGAACCUCCACGUCAAGGUAUGUCAUCUUUCUUGGGUCUAAUCCAAUAAGUUAGAGUUCUAAGAAGCAAAAGACAAUGGCAUGAUCUACAACGGAAGCUGAAUAUCAUGCUAUUGCUACCGCUGUUGUUGAACUCAAUUGGGUCAUAAAUCUCCUCAAGGAACUCAAAGUCAGCUCUACCUAUACUCUUACAAUAUAUAGUGACAAUAUUGGAGCUACCUACUUAUGUGUCAAUCCAGUGUUCCACUCAUGCAUAAAACAUAUUGCCAUCGACUUUCACUUUGUGCGAGAUCAAGUUGUCAGACAUCAACUUCGUGUCUCUCAUAUCCGUACGGAUGAUCAACUAGCAGACUCACUCACGAAGCCUCUAGCCCGCAAACUAUUUUUGUUGUAUCGGUCCAAAAUCGGUAUCCUUGACAGGAGCUCGAUCUUGCGGGGACAUGAUAACAGAGAGAUUUCUUCUGAUAAUAGAGAUUUCCUCAAUUGCAUAAGAAAAUCUCUUUGCUUAGUUAAAGAAAUCUUCUCUUUCACAUGUAUAAAUAGACUUCAUGUGAUACUAAUUGGAACGUGCUUUUCUCUUUACCUUUACAAUUUUAUUCUUUAUUCUUUCAUUUUAUUAGUUUUCACACUCCAUGAUGCUAAAUUUCAAUCAACUUGGGAUGGUCAUAGAUAGUUUGUCCUCCGUAUAUAAGACAUUGCAUGAGUAUUGAAUUCUUCGGGUUGACAAUUUUCCUUGUCACUAUGAGUUUUGUACAAACUAUUUCGAUUGUCAGGCAACUCAUCCCUCUUUGCACAAUCUCAUCUUUUGUUAAGUACCCCCACUUGCAUUAAGUUUGGUUGCUAAUGACAAGCUAUGUCAGCCAUCCCAACCUUUGCAUGCUAUAUGUUCUUCCUGGUUCACUUAUUUUUGUGGUGCCUCUUGCGCGAAGGAUUAGUCAUUCCUUUGAAUACUAAUAUCGGAUGCCCACUCUUAUAAGUGACUUAUUUUCCUACAUCUCUAUGCUCAUUUCCCUCAAACGAACAGACAUACUAGCUACCCACAAUAUAACCUUGCUAGGUCUCUCAUAUUUGCAUGUAAAGAUUUUUAAGUGUGCUUGUCUUAGGUGGUUUGGUGUAAGUUGUGCGGCACCCUUAUAUAUCCGUUCGUAAAAGAUCAACAUCUUCAUAACCUUUAUGGUCUCCUAAAGUUCUACAAAAGAAAAACAUGUUAAAAUUAUAUUUAAGAUCCCACAAAUAAACAUUUCUGAUAGAUAAUAUAAAAUAUAAAGAUAGACUUCACAAGCUCUAAAUGAUCGUACAACAAAUGGUUUAUGAUAGUCUGUCACGAUAAAAAAUCCUCACAUAACACUUCUGCAUAAUUAAACAACGAACCAAUCCUAAACACUACCUCAAAAGUCAAUCCAAUCUUGUGCCACCUAGGUAGAUCUUGAGUGUUGAGAUGACUGAUAUUUUGAACUGUCUAAAUAAUUUUAUCUCUGUACGAGUCUGAAACGAUUACAAAAGUCAAUCAAAAACUUCAUGCUAUCUAAAUCAUGAAUAAAAUUAAAAAACAUGAACAUACAAAGAUAAUUAUAUCAAAUACUUUAUCUUAACUUUAAUUUAUUGUUAAUCGAGAUUCAUUACUGAGGGAAAAAUAUAAAAAAUGGAAAGAGUUAAUGGGUCUUGGAAUUGAAAUUGAGUGAUAAGUUAAAAGAUUAUUUAUAUCCAUUUAUAAAAUUAAAAAUAAAAAUAUUAAAAUUAGAAGAAAAAAAAUUUGCAAUUGGUAAUUUUUUCACUAUUAACAACCGUUGCUAUUUGUUAUCCUCACAAACCCCCCUCCCCUCCCAUCUCCUCCCACGCUAUCUUCCCGUCGUCAUCUCCACCUCCCUCCCCCCGUCCCUCCCUCCACGUCCUCCCCCACUCUCUCUGCGCUCCGCCUCCCCCUCCCCCUGCCCCUGCCCCUGCCCCUCCACCUCCUCCCCCUCUCUCUCCCGCCUCUGUCUUCCCUACUCUUCCCCCCUCUCCCCCUCUGCCAGUUUGUUUUGGCUUGCCAAGAGCCCAGUUGUGAUUGCAUCAGCCUCAGAGGGGAACCGGAAGAGGAAAUAGCCGCCGGCCAUGUCCAGAAUUAAAGGGCAUAUGGAGGAAGACCAUAGUUUGAACACUAGCUUUCAGAGCAUCACGAGGAGGAGGAAGUUUUCCUAAGGAAUCUGCCCCCCACCAUAAGCCUAGGCUUCCUCUAUUCAGGUUACAAGGAGUCAUCAAACUCAAUAAAAUCUUGAGAAGCAUUUUUUAUACGAUCGAAAACUCCAGAAGAGAGGAAGCAGAAGGAUGAAGUAGAGGAAGGAGCUUUGCCAGGAGGGGCGCCAGGAUCCGGAGGCCCCGGGGCAAGGGGAGACGAGGAAGCCCGGGCAGCAUCACCAGCGCCAUCCACCCACUUAUCGUCAGACCGGCCCGCGCCUCCCGUGCCCUUGGUGCCGGAGCUCAAGGAGGAGUGCACGGUAGCGCCGGCGCGCUUGGCACCGGAGCCCGCCGAAGAGGGAGCAGCACCACCAGCGGCCUUCGCUCGCUUGUCGCCAGAGCCGCCCGGAGCGCCAACACAGCUUUACAAUCCUUCACUCUUUUGCUCUUUUUACUGGGUUUUCCUUGAUCAAGGGAGAAAAAGGGGCACAAAUCUAAUAUGGAAUUCUUAUAUUACGAAAAGCGAGGAAAAGAACCGGUGAUUACAAAGCACACAGUUCGGUAGCUUUGCGUUGGAGGCAUUGUGGGGAACAGGCACAGUCUGUAAAAGAAAGCUGCGGCACCUGGUAGUGGGAUCCGGCGUCGGACUUCACCGACGAGAGCGCAGCGCUGUUCAUAGCUAGGGGAGACAAGGGCCGAAAGUGCCAUAAACUGUACGCUUUCGAACGUGGCAGUUGCAAAUGGUGAGUCAUCAGAACAUGGCUGCUGGAACCACGGCGGAGUCCUUUUUGGAAGUGCCAACCCAAAUCCGGCCCGCUUUUGGACCUCUCUUCGGGUCAAUCAAAUGAUCCCCGAUCACAGUAAUCGACGGUUGAGAUCAGCUUGGGUUUCUUUUUUUAAUCGUAUUUGUUUAUUCGCCACGUGGAAUUUUCUUUUGCGGCGGGUUCGAAUGCUUCGAGGCUAAGCUUGCUGUCUCCCGGACCACGCGGUGGGGCUCGUCCCUUAUGCUUCUUCCCCUCUGGAAGGCGUGUAUAUAUACCGAAUCCCCGCGGGCUGAUUCCAUCCAUCCAACCAAACCAAAAGCACGCUUCCUUUACUUUACCCUGCUCACAGAAGGGAGAGCGAGGAACAGGCGACGGAUCGAGCGCGAUAUGGAGAUGGGAGAGUCGGGAAUCGAGAGUCUUCCGGACCUCUGCGUCGCUCACUCCAUCUCCCUCACGUCGCCCCGGGACGCGUGCCGCUUAUCCGCCGUCUCGGCCGCCUUCCGCGGCGCCGCCACUUCUGACACCGUCUGGGACCGUUUCCUGCCCACCGAUUGGCAGUCGCUCGUCUCCCGCGCUGUCUAUCCCGUCGAGUUCUCCUCCUCUUCCUCCAAGCGGGAUAUCUUCUUUCGCCUCUGCGAUCCCAUCCUCAUCGACGACGGCAAGAUGGUUAGUACAAAUCCCCUCACUCUCGUUUUCUACAAUUAUGUUGCAGCAAAAACUAAGCUGUUGUUCGGAUAUAUCUCUAAUCAAAUUCAGCAAAAAAAAAAAGUUCUUUUAUUUGGAAGAACAAGGGUAUACUUUGAUCAUUCCGAUUCCACAAAGGUGUUGUUAUAAUGUUGUCACCUAUGAUCCAUCCCAUCGAGCGUCUUUCACUCACAUAUUGAUAUGUCUCUUGAAAUUGAUUUAUGUUCGUCUUUGCAGAGUUUCUCACUGGACAGAUCGAGCGGGGCCAAGUGCUACAUGCUCUCCGCCAGAGAGCUGUUCAUUACGUGGGCAGAUACUCCGCAGUAUUGGACGUGGGAUUGCCUACCUGAAUCCAGGUAUGUGGUAAUCUCCCACACUUUCUUCCCUCUUCGCAUCGUAACUCUGAAAACCAAGCCUUUUGUUAAGAAAAUGGGUACAUUUUAUUAGCUCAUACACGAACUUCUGAUCCAUAGUUCUGUAAUCCCAGUCUUACUUGAGGACUUGUAGCCGGUACUCUCAUUACAUAGAUCCAUUUGACGUACUCAUUUAUCUAUUAUGCUGCAUGCUUGAUGUAGUCUAAUUAGAUCUAUUUAUAAGCAAUACCUGCAUGCUAUCUGUGUUACAGCCUCAUUGGCAUGCUAGAAUGCAUAGCCCAGCUAAUAUAUUACAUGAUUGUUGAUGGUAACUUUCCCCGUGGA